GGACCGGUAGCUCAGUUGGUCAGAGCGUUCGGCUCAUAACCGAAGUGUCGGGGGUUCGAGUCCUCUACGGUCCA
rnacentral:tRNA from 2 species